CCGAGGUGCAGUCCCUUAGCUCCUUCCAGUCAGAGUCCUGUGAUGACAAUGCUCCCAUUUGGAUCAGAGCGUUCUGACUGAGAGCAGAGUUUAAGAGAUGGCUACUUCCAUAGUGACUGUAACACACCUUGUCAACGCUGUCGUUGACACGGUGAAUAAAGAAGGGUACCACUGGGAUACAUCAGACUGGAUGCCCAGUGUUCCUCUGCCAGACAUACAAGAGUUCCCCAAUUACGAGGUUAUCGAUGAGCACACGCCCCUCUACUCAGCUGAUCCAAAUGCCAUCGACACUGACUAUUACCCUGGGGGUUAUGACAUUGAAAGUGACUUUCCACCCCCACCAGAGGACUUCCCUGCACCCGAUGAACUGCCACCAUUGCCUCCAGAAUUCAGCGACCAGUUCGAGUCCAUACACCCACCCAGAGACAUGCCCGCAGCAGGUAGCUUGGGGUCUUC
rnacentral:lncRNA from 1 species